UCUAGACUCACUUGGGAAGGGUACUUCCAAUCAGCUCAACACAGGCCUACACAUACACUUCUUCCGGGGACGUCAAUCCUUCUUCACCUUUACUUUCAUCCCACCUUCUAGGGGCUCCUCAUCCCACUCCUCCAUGUCUGGAACCAUGGCUAUGAGUCCCCUGUGGCACCCUGCGUGUCCUACUCUUUAAUAACAGCUGAGCUUUUAUAUCAGCUCCAGCAUGCAGGUAUGGGAUACUCUGGCUCCAUCCCAGAGCAAGUCUUUCCUAGACCCACACCUACCAAAAGAGGCAACGGUAUCCACGUAAGCCUUAUAGAUUCCACUGAAGCUCCAAAGCAUCCUGGAUGCCAAGACGUCUGGAAGCAGAAGUACAAAGACAGCACUUGGGGACCCUCAAAAUGACCAGGAAGCACUCACUAAAGAACAACACAGUAGAGGUCUCCUCCACUUCUCCAGCCUUUCAGCCACUCAAGUGCCACCCUCCAAAGAGGACAGUGCCGUGUUAAAUAACAGGAUAGUAAGAUAUUGGCAGACAAACCACCUAGGAUGUCAGAACAGCAUGGAAGAUUUCAGUCCAUGAGGUUACCCUGUAGUGAGACAGCACUUUGUUGCAAUGUACAUAGUCGGGAUCCAAUUCAAGGCUUCAUGGAAAGGAAGAGAGGAAGAGUCAAGGACUCUAUAAUAUGCUACAGUGAUGCAUCUGUUGUGACCCGAGACUUCAUGUUAAGUGGCCUCUUCAGAGUUUCUACUGCCUUCAAACACCUCCAUGAGCUAUAGGCCAAGUGCAUACAUAACAAUGGACUUCUAAGAAGAAUUUAAAAUAUAUCCAAACUAUAGCAGCAUGAGUUAUACCUCAAUAAAGUCACCUUUUAAGAUGUGAACAAAUGAGAGAAUCAUAUGAACA
rnacentral:lncRNA from 1 species